GAUGAACGCUGGCGGCGUGCUUAACGCAUGCAAGUCGAACGAGAGAAGAUCGGUGCUUGCACUGAUCCGAUCGAGUGGCGGACGGGUGAGUAACGCGUGGGUAACCUGCCUCAUACAGGGGAAUAACAGUUGGAAAUGGCUGCUAAAACCGCAUAAGCGCACAGUAUCGCAUGAUACAGUGUGAAAAACUCCGGUGGUAUGAGAUGGACCCGCGUCUGAUUAGCUAGUUGGUGAGGUAACGGCCCACCAAGGCAACGAUCAGUAGCCGGCCUGAGAGGGUGAACGGCCACACUGGGACUGAGACACGGCCCAAACUCCUACGGGAGGCGGCAGUGGGGAAUAUUGCACAAUGGGGGAAACCCUGAUGCAGCGACGCCGCGUGAGUGAUGAAGUAUUUCGGUAUGUAAAGCUCUAUCAGCAGGGAAGAUAAUGACGGUACCUGACUAAGAAGCACCGGCUAAAUACGUGCCAGCAGCCGCCGUAA
rnacentral:rRNA from 1 species